GGGCGGCACAGCGGGAAGCCAGGUGGUGACACCGAGCAGAACCGAAAGCCGUUCUCAGUUCGGAUCGGAGUCUGNAACCCGACUCCGUGAAGCUGGAUUCGCUAGUAAUCGCGCAUCAGCCAUGGCGCGGUGAAUACGUUCCCGGGCCUUGUACACACCGCCCGUCAAGCCAUGGAAGCCGGGGGCGCUUGAAGUGCGUUGCCGCAAGGCGCGCCCUAGAGCGAAGCCGGUGACUGGGGCUAAGUCGUAACAAGGUACC
rnacentral:rRNA from 1 species